UCUCCGUAGGUGAACCUGCGGAGGGAUCAUUACAGAGUUCAUGCCCUACCGGGUAGAUCUACCACCCUAUGUUAUUAUUACUUUGUUGCUUUGGCUGGCCGUUAGGCUCCGGCCCGACUACCGGCCCCGGCUGGUAAGCGCCCGCCAGAGGACCCAAAACCCUGAAUAUUAGUGUCGUCUGAGUACUAUAUAAUAGUUAAAACUUUCAACAACGGAUCUCUUGGUUCUG
rnacentral:misc_RNA from 1 species